GGGUGGUAAUGCCGGAUGCUCCAUCACACCGCAUGGUGUGUUGGGAAAGCCUUUGCGGCAUGGGAUGGGGUCGCGUCCUAUCAGCUUGAUGGCGGGGUAACGGCCCACCAUGGCUUCGACGGGUAGCCGGCCUGAGAGGGCGACCGGCCACAUUGGGACUGAGAUACGGCCCAGACUCCUACGGGAGGCAGCAGUGGGGAAUAUUGCACAAUGGGCGCAAGCCUGAUGCAGCGACGCCGCGUGAGGGAUGGAGGCCUUCGGGUUGUAAACCUCUUUUGUUAGGGAGCAAGGCAUUUUGUGUUGAGUGUACCUUUCGAAUAAGCACCGGCUAACUACGUGCCAGCAGCCGCGGUAAUACGUAGGGUGCAAGCGUUAUCCGGAAUUAUUGGGCGUAAAGGGCUCGUAGGCGGUUCGUCGCGUCCGGUGUGAAAGUCCAUCGCUUAACGGUGGAUCCGCGCCGGGUACGGGCGGGCUUGAGUGCGGUAGGGGAGACUGGAAUUCCCGGUGUAACGGUGGAAUGUGUAGAUAUCG
rnacentral:rRNA from 1 species